rnacentral:rRNA from 1 species
AUUGAACGCUGGCGGCAUGCCUUACACAUGCAAGUCGAACGGCAGCAUGGGUGCUUGCACCUGAUGGCGAGUGGCGAACGGGUGAGUAAUGCAUCGGAACGUACCCGGAAGUGGGGGAUAACGUAGCGAGAGUUACGCUAAUACCGCAUAUUCUGUGAGCAGGAAAGUGGGGGAUCGCAAGACCUCGCGCUUCCGGAGCGGCCGAUGUCGGAUUAGCUAGUUGGCGGGGUAAAGGCCCACCAAGGCAACGAUCCGUAGCGGGUCUGAGAGGAUGAUCCGCCACACUGGGACUGAGACACGGCCCAGACUCCUACGGGAGGCAGCAGUGGGGAAUUUUGGACAAUGGGGGCAACCCUGAUCCAGCCAUGCCGCGUGAGUGAAGAAGGCCUUCGGGUUGUAAAACUCUUUCGGCCGGGAAGAAAUCGCACAGGUUAAUACCUUGUGUGGAUGACGGUACCGGAAUAAGAAGCACCGGCUAACUACGUGUCAGCCGCCGCAGUAACAC